rnacentral:tRNA from 1 species
GCCGCCCUAGCUCAUCUGGUAGAGCGACGGUAUCGUAAACCGUAGGUGGCCGGUUCAAGCCCGGCGGGCGGCUCCA